GCCCUUGAAUUAUAGAUGUUGUGUGGUCUGAGUAAGGUGUCAAAUGCCUUUGAUCCCAGCACUGGAGAGGAAAAUGCAAAUGGAUCUCUGUGAGUUUGAGGCCAGCCUGGUCUACACAGAAUGUUCCAGAUCAGACAAAGCUACUUAGUGAGACAUCUCCAAAGCAAGCAAACAAACAAACAAAAACAAAAAACAACAAGAGAGUGCAGAUAAUAGGGAAAUAUAGCAAAAUGCCAAAUAACUAAAUUUUGGCCUUUGUCAUUGUUUUUAAAAUCUAAACUUAGAAAAAAAGAUACUGAAGUGGAAACUUCUGGGUUUUUUUGGAAAGUCAUAUCAAAAGUGUUUUUCUGGAGUAGACACAGGUGAAAGGAUGUUUUGCUAAAGGAAACACGUGAAAGGUCUCAUGGUGGAUUCUUUGCUAACAACACACAUGUAUUGGUUUGCUUUACAGAAUUGCUGAGCUCCACUUGUUGUGACUUCAUAGAAAAAAAUACACCCAAAACCCUCUGGUGCUGCUCUGGCGGCCUCUCGACAAUCCCACGGACUCGGGCGGAUUGGCAGAGUGAUGUCAGCUGUUACAGAUUCAUGUGGAGUCUUGCUAAGACUCUCACUCCCUUGUCCAUCAGUAGUUGCUCUCCUUCAUCAGCCAUUGGUCUCUAGUACACACAAGGGUAGGAUGAACUGAAUUUUUUCCCUUUCCUUACCAAAUGACAAGAUUCUCUCUCGGUAUGACAAGGUGACCAAUCUAGGCUUAAAUCUCAUGUUGAAAUCCUGGGUUGAAGCUCAAGAGCAAGUUUUAAUUCAUUGUAGUUAUUGUGGAGGAGCUCAAACUGUCCCACUUCUGUUUGGUGUCUUGGCACCCUUGACAAAGCCUCGUCACAUACAGUAGCUUCUUUCUGAAACCAGACCUUGAAGGAUCAUCUAUCUAUCUGUCACUUCU
rnacentral:lncRNA from 1 species